CCCGCUCGCGGCCCUCCGCGGUGAAAUCUGCUGCGGUGGCCGCCGCCUUCAGCGCCUGGCACCUUACCUUUAAGGCCAGAGAACGAAGUCUGGAAACCCUCGGCUCCCGGAUCCAAUAUCCUGCCCGCGCCAGAGGUGUUUUUUGAAGUCACUGCGCACAAGUGAGGGGGUUCCACAUGUGAAGAGCCACCCCACUGCCGUAGGAUCAUAAAUUACAGAGAUCAAUACUCUCUCGCAUUAAGAUUCAGGAGGUGUUAGAAGUAGGCCUUUGUGUGAUGCCCUUGGCUUAAUGAGCAGAUGACAGGGACUUUGGCAUCCCAUGGGCCUCAGAUUGAUGAGGUCCAGGUGAGCAGUAUUUUCACGUUGAAUGCAAGAACAAGAUUCUGGAAUAUUAAAUAUUUCCUGUGAAUAAAAAAGGAAUGGGUUUCGCUAAACAGUGGAAGAGUGUUGUUUCGGAUGCACUAUACGGGGUGGCCUAUUUAGAAUUAACACCAUUUGAUGCAGUCUGACUAUAAAUGGAAGGGUUUUUCCUUGCUCAACAUAGUGCGACUCAUAAAAGAGAAAAUUCUGAUAGUAGCCUUUGCAAUGGAACCAACAGCCAGAAGUUGAACUUCAUACAUCCAGUAUCCACAUGGAGGAGAUAACUUCAAGUUCCAGGGUGAAGCUUCAAGUUAGGAACAGUGUUGAUCUCAUAUUAGGAUGGAUUAAAUUCAAAACAAUUGAAGCAGCAUAGGCAUAUAAACAAACAAAUGUAUGGGGUGGAGAGGUGAAGUCAUUUUAAAGAAAUAAACAUGCCAUGUGGAUUUUCAGAGGAGCCUUUUUGUUCUUUGGUGCUUAGGUCACCACAGAGCACCGAGUGGACUUUCCUGUGCUUACAACCUCAUCACUGGCAAGCAUGGGCUCGUCACUGCUGGGGAAGAAGGAUCUGAGAACAGAAGAGGCACAUGCAAUACUUUCCAACCAGGCGGUUUCCA